rnacentral:lncRNA from 1 species
UGUGUUGUUUUUCUCGUGUCGCAAACAAAUGCAAAUGCCGCUCAAAGUUGUUUUUAUUUGUUCAAUAUUCUUUGUUUUUAUUUUUUUAUGGACCAAAUUUAACCCCAAAAUGAUGUGAAGGUAAAUUUCUAACUUUCUUAAGCACCAUUUAGUUAACCCUUUAAUACACCCAUCUAUGUAUGUUAUAAUUCUAUUCUACAUAAUUAAUGUGUGCAAUGUCUGUCAUCUCAUCAAGGUUGCAUUAGCAUUAAUAGAUCAAAUGGAUCAUUGGCAUUUCAAAUUUUUACAUAAAGUUGCUGAAUAGACAAUACUCUUUUUGAGCUAAGGAUUCUCAUUGCAUUCUUGACUAAAUAUUUUCAUAAAAUUUAUCUAGCUGACAUUUUCAGGGUGCAGGCAGGUGCAGGCCGCAGGGUGCCUGUGACAAUAGGGAUACAACAGGAUAUUACAAUGGUACAAUACAGUAAGCCAAGCUGAAUAAUCAAUCCAAAAAACAAAGGAAAUUUUAUUGGCAUGGUUUCUUUGUUUUCACUGGUUUUAACAGACAUAAUAUAUGAUCUUUGUGUGAUUUGUUGUCCCAAGAACCUUGAAUCGAGAAUCGUCCCUCAGACCUCUUAAAGAACAAAAUUGUAUGGAUGCAGCCAACAGUAGCAUUGAAGAUAUAUUAGUUAGUGGUUAUUUUUAUCUUAAUCAACAAUGGUGAUAAAAAAAGAAAUUUAUAAUUGCCUGAACUAAGAAGGAUUCCAAUAUCCAGCAGUCUAGAUGGGGAUUGGCAUGGAUUACAAUUCCACAUAGGGCAAAAAAAUAUCAGUGUUGAAGAGAAACACCUGUGAAUCAAUGUUGGUGUAAAAGAUCUUUCGUUUUUCAACUUCUUCUACAGUCACUCUGUAACAACGUGAACAAGAUUACUGAACUCUGGAAUCUUUAGAUCACGACCGAGAUGGGCGAAAUUUUUUUUUUCCCGGAAGAAAUAUAAGCAUUUUGUGAUAAAACUCUUGCCAUGAAGGAAAGUAAU